AUCUUUUUUUUAUUUUACAAUUAAAAAAAUAUAUUUUUUUUUUUACAAGAGCGGGAUGUUUUAAAUACGAAAAAGAAAUGGCGAGGGAUUCGCCAUAAUUUAUAAUGAUCCUUCCGCAGGUUCACCUACGGAAA
rnacentral:misc_RNA from 1 species